rfam:Otolemur garnettii contig059939, whole genome shotgun sequence.
GCCGGAUGCAGUGGCGCACGCCUAUAGUCCCAGCUACUUGGGAGGCUGAGACAGGAGGAUCGCUUGAGUCCAGGAGUUCUGGGCUGUAGUGCGCUAUGUUGAUCGGGUGUCUGCACUAAGUUAUGCAUCAAUGUGGUGGUCACCCCGCUUAGGUUGCAUAAGGAGGGGUGAACCGGCCCAGGUUGGAAAUGGAGCAGGUCAAAGCUCCCAUGCUGAUCAGUAGUGGGAUUGCAUCUGAGAAUAGCCACUGCACUUCAGCCUGGGCAACAUAGCGAGACCCCGUGUCUU